AGCCCGGUGGUGUAGCGGUAAGCAUGCGGGGCUCUGGCCCCCGAGGACCGGGGUUCGAAUCCCCGCCGGGCUACCA
rnacentral:tRNA from 1 species